AGUGAACGCUGGCGGUAGGCCUAACACAUGCAAGUCGAACGGCAGCACCGUAAGAGCUUGCUCUUACGGGUGUCGCGUGGCGGACGGGUGAGGAAUACAUCGGAAUCUACUUUUUCGUGGGGGAUAACGUAGGGAAACUUACGCUAAUACCGCAUACGACCUACGGGUGAAAGCAGGGGAUCUUCGGACCUUGUGCUAUUGUAUGAGCCGAGGUCGGAUGAGCUAGGUGGCGGGUCAAAGGCCCACGAAGGCGACGAUCGGUAGAUGGUCUGAGAGGAUGGUCAGCCAGACGGGAAGUGAGACACGGCCGAGACACUGACGCGAGGAAGCAGUGGAGACUAUUGGACGAUGGAGGAAAGCGUGAUACAGCCAUACCGCGUGGGUGAAGAAGGACUUCGGGUUGUAAAGCCAUUUUGUCGGGAGAGAAAAGCAGCAGGUUAAUACCCCGCUGUUCUGACGGUACCCAAAGAAUAAGCACCGGCUAACUUCGUG
rnacentral:rRNA from 1 species